rnacentral:rRNA from 1 species
AUGGAUGACAAUAAGGGCCAAGGCGAGACCCAGAUCGCCCAACGCAAGUUACGAAACGGUCACCCUAGGAACGAACUCAGCUGUUCCUUGCUCUGUCACCCUAGAGACGGAGCAAAGAACUUCCCUGCGGCCGUGUCGUCUGGCCUGGUGUGCAGGCUUUUCCUCUGCAGUUGUACUCGAAGAUGUACCCAUCGAUUAUUCAUCCUUGAUCUGGUUUAUAAUUUAAAUAAGAUUGUUCAAAUAUGCAUUCCUCGAAACAGAAAAAUAUUGGACUCAACAGUUAUGGACAUAGACCGUUCUAGAAUUAUGAAAGGAAAUGGGUACUUCUACAAUAAUACUCGUAGAAUUAGUCCCUCAAGAAAAUCUCGUAGAAUUAGGAAAUGGCUUAACCGUUCUCAGAAAAAAGAAGAGAGGAAAUGGCUUCUGGUUGAGCCGAACCAAGUCACCAGUUCGGUCUCCUGUUCCGUCUUCCCAACCCAGGCACCCGGCUCGUCUGGAAACAUGGAGCUGCCACGCCUCCGCCGCUCGCCGCCGGCGCUUCCAGACCACCUCCUCGAGGAAAUCUUCUCCCGCCUCCCUCCCAGCGAACCCUCAUGCCUCCUCCGCGCCUGCCUCGUCUGCAAGCACUGGCGCGACAUCAUCUCCGCCCCCAGCUUCCUCCGCCACCUCCACGCGCACCGCCGGGCACCCAAGAUGCUAGGGUUCCUCCAGCACUCGGAAGGUGAUGAGAAUCUCCCCGUAUACGUGCCCACCUCCCCCUUCUCCUUCCCCGUCCCCGACCCCCGCGCCUGGCACGUCCUCGGCUACCGGCACGGCCGCGCCGUAUUCGUCUCCGAUACUACCGACCGGGAGCUCCUCGUCUGGGAGCCGUUCACGGGCAACCGGUGGAACGUGCCGGUACCCGCGGAACUCAAGAUCGGGCACUCCAACGCCACCGUGCUCUGUACGGCGGAGGGGUGCGACCAUCUCAACUGCCACGGGGGGCCCUUCCGCGUUGUCUUGGUGUUCACCAGCCCCUUCGAGGAGGAAACGGAGUGGCUCACGUCGGCGGCCGUAUACUCGUCGGAGACCGGCGCCUGGGGUGAGGUGGCCUUGGCCUUGCCCUGGCGCGAUGGCUUUUCCUUGCUCUGUGAGAAUCCUGGCCUGCUCGUGGGGAAUUCUCUGCUGUACUUCCUGUACCUUGAUGGGCACAUCCUCGAGUACAACUUGGCUGAGCAUGUCCUCAAUGUGAUCAACCCACCGGAACCGGACAAUGAUGCUGCAUUCUCGCAGAGAGUUAUGCUGGUUCAGGCGGAGGAUGGUGGGCUGGGAAUUGCUAAAGCUGAUGACGGUGGGUGGAAUCAUCUGUACCUCUGGUCAAGGAAGGUCAGUGAAGGAGGUGAUGCAGAAUGGGUGGAGUGCCCGUUCAUGUACCUCGGCGAUUCGCUUCCAUUUGCUGCUAGGUCGUCGUCCUCAAGAAUAACAGUGUUUCUGAUGGGCUUUGUCGAGGGAGCAAAUACCAUUUUGGUGAGCACGGUUGAUGGCUUCUUUUCAAUCGAGCUCCAGUCCAAGCGGGGGAGGAAGAUGUGCAAGGACCGAUGCAGGGCCUACCCUUUGGUUCCAGUUGUCAGCUCCUACUCUAUACUCCGGGUACCUCAAGUUGAGCACGACAGCCUGGGCUCUCCGGACUUCAAUGGUGAGUCAGAUGAUGAGGAGUGGGAGUGGGAAGCACUAAGGCAGGCAGAGUCGCUGUUUUACAGUGGGUCCAUGGCCAUCAAGGAGGGGGACUUUGUUGCCGCUGUUGAUUGCCUCAGCCGCGUCCUGGCGAUCAGGGUUGCACAUUAUGGUGAACUUGCUCCGGAAUGUGCUAGUGUGUAUUACAAAUAUGGAUGUGCCUUGCUAUGGAAAGCUCAGAAGGCAACUAAUCCUCUGGGAAACCUUCCCAAGAAGGGUACAAUCAGCAAAGCUCACAGUGAAGAAUGGGAAAACUCAAAUGGCGAAGAUCAGGAGGAUAGGAAGGGUGACAAUGAGAUGGCAGGCGCUGGAGAUGUUUCUGAUGUGGAUCUUGCUGGGAAAAUGCUAGAUACUGCAAGAAAAAUAAUGGAAAAGACCGCAGACAACACUGUGGAGAUAUCAAGAAUCCUUUCUGCUCUCACUGAAGUCUCCAUGGAGAAGAGAAAAAGAGGAAUUAAUUAG